rnacentral:rRNA from 1 species
UACGUAGGUGGCAAGCGUUGUCCGGAUUUACUGGGCGUAAAGAGCUCGUAGGCGGUUUGUCGCGUCGUUCGUGAAAACUCACAGCUUAACUGUGAGCUUGCGGUCGAUACGGGCAGGCUAGAGUUCGGUAGGGGAGACUGGAAUUCCUGGUGUAGCGGUGAAAUGCGCAGAUAUCAGGAGGAACACCGGUGGCGAAGGCGGGUCUCUGGGCCGAUACUGACGCUGAGGAGCGAAAGCGUGGGGAGCGAACAGG